rnacentral:rRNA from 1 species
AAUGAACGCUGGCGGCGUGCUUAACACAUGCAAGUCGAACGGAAUACAAGGAGCUUGCUCCGAACUAUUUAGUGGCGAACGGGUGAGUAUCACGUGAGCAACCUGCCCCGAAGAACUGGGAUAACACCGGGAAACCGGUGCUAAUACCGGAUGUCUUUCAACGAUCGCAUGAUCGAUGAAAGAAAUGUUUUUUCGCUUUGGGAGGGGCUCGCGGUCCAUCAGCUUGUUGGCGGGGUAACGGCCCACCAAGGCUACGACGGAUAGCUGGUCUGAGAGGACGAUCAGCCACACUGGAACUGAGACACGGUCCAGACUCCUACGGGAGGCAGCAGUGGGGAAUCUUGCGCAAUGGACGAAAGUCUGACGCAGCAACGCCGCGUGAGGGACGAAGGCUUUCUGAGUUGUAAACCUCUUUCGACAGGAACGAUUGUGACGGUACCUGUAGAAGAAGCACCGGCCUACUAUGUGCCAGCAGCCGCGGUGAUACAUAGGGUGCGAGCGUUAUUCGGAUUUAUUGGGCGUAAAGAGCUCGUAGGCGGUUCGACAAGUCGGGUGUAACCCCCAGGCCUAGGCUGGGGGC